UUCCCCCCUGUGAACACAGAAGAAACCACUGCCUGUGCACAUGUCAGUGUGCAGUGAUAAUCUUUCUAGAAAGUUCUGGCUUCCUGCCGCGGUCGCUUUACUCCAGGAAAUUGUGACGUCCCGAUUGUUCCUCCAAAGCUUUGAGAACAGCCAGGUCGGGGCCAGGUGGGGCAAGAGCCCAGAAACAGGAGAGCACCUUGCCUCCUCCCAGACUUGGAAUAAGGAAUACUGGCAUAAUUCUGUUUUUGUUUUUUGUUUGACUCCUUCAGUGCUACUACCUCUGAAAUAUCAAACAUAAAGCUUUUUCCAGAAGGAACUGGCAUUUGCCCUAAGCACAUGAUACUGAUACUGCCUAGGAGGUAAUGUGGAUCCACCCAGAGGAAUUCUGGACGUCUUCAUUUGGAUUCGAUGUUCUAAAGUAUAUCUAUUUACCUGAGCAGAGGGGAAGUCAAGACUUCUGUUAAGCACCACAACUCCAGUGACUCUGCCUGGGGACUGGACAAGAAGCUGAAGCACUCAUCCUUUAUAUUUGUUUACUCAAGUUUUUCAAUGAAAGGCUUUGGCCAUAAAUUCAAAAAACGAAUUCCUUUUAUCCUUCUGCCAUCAUUUUUGUCUAAAUAAAUCUGCGUCUUUAACACUCAAUAAAUGGAUCGCUUCAAUUGAACAAAGCAGAGGUCCUGAUGUUCUAUCCCCUCCCAUGGAAAAGCCAAGGGUAUGCGUCCACAGUCCCAGUUUU
rnacentral:lncRNA from 1 species